UAUCUGCCGUGGGCGCUGGAGAAUUGAGGGGGGUUGCUCCUAGUACGAGAGGACCAGAGUGGACGAACCUCUGGUGUACCGGUUGUGACGCCAGUCGCAUCGCCGGGUAGCUAUGUUCGGAAGGGAUAACCGCUGAAAGCAUCUAAGCGGGAAGCCUACCUCAAGAUAAGAUUUCCCUAGGAAUUUAUUCCUCUAAAGAGCCGUUCGAGACUAGGACGUUGAUAGGUUGGAUGUGGAAGCAUAGUGAUAUGUGAAGCUGACCAAUACUAAUUGCUCGUGAGGCUUGACUAUACAACACCCAAGCAGUUG
rnacentral:rRNA from 1 species